AUGUCAAGUCAAAAUACUGGAGCAGGAUCUACAAGAUCCACACCUAUAGGAUUAUCACUUAAUGGAUGUCCAUCAUCGUCUGGAUCACAGAGUAGUAGAAGGGGAUCGUGGGCUAAUUCUGAUUUAAGAACCCCUCAGCUGUAUCCACUUACAUCACCUUCCCCACAGCUCUCUGCAAGACAUCCAAUCACCAUCUCUGGACUUCUGCAAAGACAACAGUUAGGAUCGACUAAUUUUGGAGGACAUUCAGCAGAAAGAUAAGCAAACAUCUGUGAAUUCUUUUGGUUAAUAAGCAUCUGGAGAAGCACUACACAGUUUUUGGAUAUCAAAGUAUUUGUAACUUCAAUAAAAUGUCAAAUUGGCAUAAACCA
rnacentral:lncRNA from 1 species